GAUCAUGGCUCAGGACGAACGCUGACGGCGUGCUUAACACAUGCAAGUCGAACGGUGACGAGGAGCUUGCUCCUCCGAUCAGUGUCGAACGGGUGAGUAACACAUGAGUAACCUGCCCCAGACUCUGGGAUAACAGUUGGAAACAGCUGCUAAUACCGGAUACGAGACGGAGAGGCAUCUCUACCGUCUGGAAAGUUUUUCGGUCUGGGAUGGACUCGCGGCCUAUCAGCUUGUUGGUGAGGUAAUGGCUCACCAAGGCGACGACGGGUAGCCGGCCUGAGAGGGCGACCGGCCACACUGGGACUGAGACACGGCCCAGACUCCUACGGGAGGCAGCAGUGGGGAAUAUUGCACAAUGGGCGAAAGCCUGAUACAGCGACGCCGCGUGAGGGAUGACGGCCUUCGGGUUGUAAACCUCUUUCAGCAGGGAAGAAGCGAAAGUGACGGUACCUGCAGAAGAAGCACCGGCUAACUACGUG
rnacentral:rRNA from 1 species